GCCUCAGCUCUGGGUUCUGUGUUGCAGCCGCGGACAGAGCAGACCACCGCCUCUAAAGGGGCAGCCAAAGCGGCCCAGCAGGGGAGGCCCCCUCAGGCUCAGCCACCGCCAGGACCUGGACCUGCAGGCAUGAAAGCUGGAGCCAGGCCUGGAGGCACCCCGGGGGCUCCCGCUGGCCAGCCAGGGGCCGAAGGGGACAGCGUGUUCUCCAAGAUCCUCCCCGGGGGGGCCGCAGAGCAGGCGGGCAAACUGACAGAAGCCGUCUCUGCUUUUGGCAAAAAAUUCUCCUCCUUCUGGUGACCCUGCCCGGAGGGGCUCUCAGGCUCUCGAUGAGAUGGAGGGAGGUGGUGUCGUUGUUGUGGAAAAACCUCUGGAGUCCGAGGCCUGGGCGCAGCUCUGGACUCUGCGUAUAACACAUCUACAAUCUGGCGCACACUUGGCUCCCAGACUCGCCGGAGGGACGGACAUGGUGGGCGGCCUCCGCUGGACAAGUGGGACCACCUGCCGGACCCCUGCUUGACUUUCCGGAGCCCCUGCUCUCCUGGGGCGCCGCCUUCAGGCCGGGGAGGGAAGAGCCUCUUUGCAGACCCUGCGGCCUGGCCAGCCCGGCUUCCCAUGCGUUAUACACAGAGUUGGCGCACGCUGCCUUUCCCACAGACGCUGCCUCCCUCCACGCGGCCAGAAGUUCUUCCACAGCCUGGGACUGAGAGCUGGGCCCCGGCUCCGUUCCCUCCACAUUCCAGCUGGCCCACCUCCCUCUGCCGCCGCAGGGCCCUGCCCCGCAGCCUGCCCUCCGGGUGACAUCGGAGCAGACUUCCAUGUGCUGUGGCGGGUGGGGAGGACUUGACAAACACUAGGACCUAACACUGUCUCCUUGCUGGAACCAGAGGCCAUAGCACCGCAAUGCAGCGUGGGCCCUGGCCAAGGCUCCCGCAGCCCACGGUGGCAGUGCCCGCGCUGGCCGCCAUCUCAAAGCCAUUCCCCAGCCAUCGCUCCCGGGCACCGCCAUCGUCUCGACAGCUGGCUCCUCCCCCUCACGCCUGGGGGUUUCUUUUGAUUUCGAGAGCAGCCUUAACAUUUCAGUUGGUUUACGUGUAUACCUCAUGAACAUCUUCUUUGGUUUCUCCUUCUCCCUCCGCCUCUCCUUUGCUCACCCCUUGACUCUCCUCCCUCCACCCCUCCGUGACUGACGGUUUGGUCCCUCGCUGCUCAGUCCCUGCUCAGCACAGGGAGGAGGCUGACUCCGAAGCAAUAGUGGGCAGCAGGCCGCCCAGAGCACAACCCGGGGCGAGGCCUCAGGAGCCCGCCGCCUGUUUACUGUGCAAUCCAGUCCUUCUUAAGCCAUCACCGGGCGGCUCGCAGCAGAGGCCCGGCUUCUGGCCGGGCGGACCCAGCGCCCUGGACUGGGGAGUGUGGCUCCCUCCACCCACCCGGUGGGCUGGGCGGCCGCCCUCCCCAGGCCCUGCCCUGGGGGACUUUCUGUCUCUUGGGCACAGCCACAGUCUCAUCUCUAACGUUCUAUGCAAUGAAAUAGAAACCUUCAAAGACAACUGUUAAUAUUUAAUAAAUUCCAUGUUAUGUAUAAGGAGUUCAUUGCAAACAUGCAAUUGAGAAACUGGAUAGAUAUGCUCAUCUCAGACCCCUCCCCGCCGCCCGCUCCCCUGUGGCUCUGUCUGUGGCAUGUUUGACCCGUGGCCGGGCGCUGACGCCGGCGAGUCGCUGCCCCGUGGAGCAUGCACUCGCAGCCUCUUUGCACGCUCUCACCCAUUUCCAAUGCCCGACCCUCUUGCUUGGAGUCCUUGUUGCCUCAGAACCUCCCCUCCAGGAGUGUCCGCUGCCUGUGCACGAACUAGCAGGGGCCUGCCGGGGUGCCGCCGGAGCUCGCCAAGAUGGCAGGCGAGAGGCGUCCCGGUGGACACGCGGUGAGGCCUGCUGGGGGCGGGGGGUGUGCGGGAGCAUUCAGAAGGCUCCCCUCACCCAGCCUUGAGCCAGAGGCAUCCGGCCACCCCUACCCUCGGGGGCAGGGCUGGACUGUGUCUGUGGCCUGACAGGCCCAGGGCAGGGCCUGGCUGAGUCCUAGGGCCCCGGCCCCUGGCUGGCUGCUCCAGGUCCCUCCCCUGUGGCUGGAGGCGCAGAGGUCUGUGAGCCAGGAGGUGGCUCCAGGGGUCAAAGGGUGCUCAGGAGAGCUGGACAUCAGGCCCUCGUGGCGAGGGCAGCUGAAAAGGUCAUCUCGGACCGAGCAGGUGUCCCCACAGGCAGCGGCUGCAAGCCCAGUGUCUUGGGAGGCUUCUCAUAGCAAACCCUGAGGCCGCUCUGCCUCUGUCCCCAGGCCCUGCACUCCUGCCACCCUCAUCGCUGGAGCCUGGCCUCCCGCUGCUCGCUGCAUCCCUGCCACUGAGCCAGGAGCCGGCAGGGUGGCUGCCGCCCCGGCCCGGCCCCUCAGCGCUCUGGUUUGCACCGUGCAUUUCUCAGGGUCCACAUUUCCAUGCUUCCCAUCAGGUCUACACGGCCCUUCAGAGAGGGAUCCUGGCCGCUUCGGGGGGGAUAGGAGGUGUCGACCUCUGUGUUGGGCCUGAGACCCUGGUCCUCCAGGAUUUGGGCCUCACGCAUCCCAUGGCACUUGCCUCCUCUGAGACCAGGGCUCCGGGCGGCGGUCUGAGCAAGGGCUGAGGGGGGCCACCUCCAUCACCUCUGACCGCCCAGGGCCAGCUCGGUACUGGGGGCCCACAGCAGCUCUCCUGCCACUGAAGCCGGGGUGGGCAGCAGCAGGCAGGUGGCUGCAGGCGGCUCCAUCAGACCCGGCCUCAGGCUCUGACAUGCUAACUUUUCAGCAAAUUUCCUUCUGGCCGAGCCUCCGAGUUUGAAAGGUCUGACAUCUGUCCCUCCCCAUCCCCAGCGUACACACAGGUCACACCUGUGCCUUCACUCCUGUGAAGGCGGCUGGAGCAGGCCUCGGGCACAGGCGUCCCGGCCCUCCUGUGGAUGCUAAGGGACCAGCACUCGGGGCCGUGGGCAAUGGGGAGCCCGGGCAUAUCUCCAACAGGAGAGGGUCCCUAGGACGCCGUCCAGGCCUCUGCAUACCUGCCGCCCAGCGUCAGAAGCAAGGGCAUUCAUUUCACAGCGACACCCCCUCCCCGCCAUCUGCUCCGUCCCGGGGAGAGCGAGGUCUCAGCCGUGCUGAGGGCAGCAUGGCAGCCUGGCCCCGCCCGCCCUGUGUCCCCUCCCCCACUUUGUAAAUAGGUGUCAUCGUGGACUCGACAGGGUCAGAGUGACAGGCCUGGUCAACUGAAACUCCUCAGAGAUGUCACCCGUCUCCCUGGGCACCCAGCCUGCCCCCCGAGAGCCGUGGAAGUGGUGACACCGUGCGUGCAUGUGACCUGGUGUGAGUGGGUGUGUGUGUCCGCCUCCAGCUCUGACCCCGUCAGCCCCCUGCAGGCGCGGUGCCCUGGCUGCAGCGUCCAGCCUCGCCCCUGCUGGCUGCCUCCCCCUCCCCCCCUGCUUCCCUUCAGUCCCUCCCCCCUUCUUUCUCUCCUUCUUUAUCUGAGGGGGGGAGUGCUGUACAAAGUCACACAAACAAGUUUACAGUUGUAAGUGCAAUGACCGAGCCCUCCACAUGACCUUGUGAAGUGUGUGCGUCCUCCGUGCCCGUGAGAACUCGUGCUACUUCCGUGUCCCUCCCCUGUGCUGUGACGAGGUAACUGUGGCAUCAGAAUAAAGGACUUGAUAUCCACAA